GACGAACAUGCAUGUAUUUGAGUGACUCGACAACAAUUAUCAUGUAAACCUUAUAUCUGUCCACUAAGAAUAGUAGCCACUAAAAAAUUAGGUAAGAAACAUUCAAGUACAUACCGAGAAGUAUCAAUGAACCUAGCAGAAGACAUGCAACCUUCAACCAUGAUAAAGGAACACCAUUCACUGACACUGCAUUUGAUAGUAUAAAUCAUUGGUAAUAGCUAGGUCCUACCAUAAGCGAUCUGCUGUCAACUGUCUUGCACAGUUAUAAAGUCAAAUGGCGAUGGACAAACCUACACCCGUGAGAGCACCUUGCAUGAGUUGCUACAGGCCUUUUAAAUAAUUUUUUUCUGAUUGCACAUAUAUACUUAAAAUUUUGUUAAUUUUUUGCCCCUUUCAUCAAUAUUGUCCCUUGUCGAUGGUUUCUUUUUGAACGUCAACAUAAUUCAUAUCCAUCUCUCUCAUAACCUGCAAAAUUAAACAUAUAUAGAAAUACACCUUUUAUAUUGUCAUGUGCAACAUCUCUCAAAAAAGAACAAUUAUUUGUAUGCAUUUCUUCCAAUUCUGUAAAAUCAUGUUUUUAGGCCAGCCCAUCAUAGUUACGCCAAUGACUUUGCCAAUCAGCAUUUUCAAAGCAUAAUUAGAAGCUACCACUUUUUAUCUCUGAUAUAUAAAGGUGAACAUAUAAACAUAUAUUAAAAUAAUAAAAAAAACUCAUAUACAAUCUAUAUUCAUAUAAGCAGGUGACCAUUUUUAGUCACAGUGAGUCUGUUGGAAAUAUGCCCUAGAGGCAAUAAUAAAAGUAUUAUUAUUAUAUUUCCUUGUUCAUGAUAAUUGUCUUUUAUUCAUGCUAUAACUGUAUUAUCCGGAAAUCGUAAUACACGUGUGAAUACAUAGACCACAAUAUGUCCCUAGUGAGCCUCUAGUUGACUAGCUCGUUGUGAUCAACAGAUAGUCAUGGUUUCCUGGCUAUGGACAUUGGAUGUCGUUGAUAACGGGAUCACAUCAUUAGGAGAAUGAUGUGAUGGACAAGACCCAAUCCUAAGACUAGCACAAAAGAUCGUGUAGUUCAUUUGCUAGAGCUUUGCCAAUGUCAAGUAUCUCUUCCUUCGACCAUGAGAGCGUGUAACUCCUGGAUACCGCAGGAGUGCUUUGGGUGUAUCAAACGUCACAACGUAACUGGGUGACUAUAAAGGUGCACUACAGGUAUCUCCGAAAGUAUCUAUUGUUUUAUGCGGAUCAAGACUGGGAUUUGUCACUCCGUGUAAACGGAGAGGUAUCUCUGGGCCCACUCGGUAGGACAUCAUCAUAUGCGCAAUGUGACCAAGGAGUUGAUCACGGGAUGAUGUGUUACGGAACGAGUAAAGUGACUUGCCGGUAACGAGAUUGAACAAGGUAUUGGAUACCGACGAUCGAAUCUCGGGCAAGUAACAUACCGAUAGACAAAGGGAAUUGAAUACGGGAUUGAUUAAGUCCUUGACAUCGUGGUUCAUCCGAUGAGAUCGUCGUGGAACAUGUGGGAGCCAUCAUGGGUAUCCAGAUCCCGCUGUUGGUUAUUGACCGGAGAACGUCUCGGUCAUGUCUGCAUGUCUCCCGAACCCGUAGGGUCUACACACUUAAGGUUCGAUGACGCUAGGGUUAUAAAGGAAGCUUGUAUGUGGUUACCGAAUGUUGUUCGGAGUCCCGGAUGAGAUCCCGGACGUCACGAGGAGUUCCGGAAUGGUCCGGAGGUAAAGAUUUAUAUAUAGGAAGUCCUGUUUCGGGCAUCGGGACAAGUUUCGGGGUCAUCGGUAUUGUACCGGGACCACCGGAAGGGUCCCGGGGGCCCACCGGGUGGGGCCACCUGCCCCGGGGGGCCACAUGGGCUGUAGGGGGUGCGCCUUGGCCUACAUGGGCCAAGGGCACCAGCCCCAAGAGGCCCAUGCGCCUAGGGAACCCUAGAGGGAAGAGUCCUCAAGGGGGAAGGCACCUCCGAGGUGCCUUGGGGAGGAUGGACUCCUCCCCCCCCCCCUCUUGGCCGCCGCACCAGAUGCCAUCUGGAGGCUGGCCGCCGCCCCUUGGGGUGGGAAACCCUAAAGGGGGCGCAGCCCUCCCCUUCCCCUAUAUAUAUGAGGCCUAGGGGCUGCCCAUAACACGCGAUUUGAUCUCUCGUUGGUGCAGCCCUACCCCUCUCCCUCCUCCUCCUCUCCCAUGGUGCUUGGCGAAGCCCUGCGGGAUUGCCACGCUCCUCCACCACCACCACGCCGUUGUGCUGCUGUUGGAUGGAGUCUUCCUCAACCUCUCCCUCUCUCCUUGCUGGAUCAAGGCGUGGGAGACGUACCCGGGCUGUACGUGUGUGGAACGCGGAGGUGCCGUACGUUCGGCACUUGAUCAUCGGUGAUUUGAAUCACGACGAGUACGACUCCAUCAACCCCGUUCACUUGAACGCUUCCGCUUAGCGAUCUACAAGGGUAUGUAGAUGCACUCUCCUUUCUACUCGUAGCUGGUUUCUCCAUAGAUAGAUCUUGGUGACACGUAGGAAAAUUUUUGAAUUUCUGCUACGUUCCCCAACAGUGGCAUCAUGAGCUAGGUCUAUUGCGUAGAUUCUUUGCCCGAGUAGAACACAAAGUAGUUGUGGGCGUUGAUGUUGUUCAAUAUGCUUACCGUUACUAGUCCAAUCUUGUUUCGACAGUAUUGUGGGAUGAAGCGGUCCGGACCGACCUUACACGUACUCUUACGUGAGACAGGUUCCACCGAUUGACAUGCACUUGGUGCAUAAGGUGGCUAGCGGGUGACAGUCUCUCCCACUUUAGUCAGAACGGAUUCGAUGAAAAGGGUCCUUAUGAAGGGUAAAUAGCAAUUGGCAUAUCACGUUGUGGUCUUGCGUAGGUAAGAAACGUUCUUGCUAGAAACCCAUAGAAGCCACGUAAAACAUGCAACAACAAUUAGAGGACGUGUAACUUGUUUUUGCAGGGUAUGCUAUGUGAUGUGAUAUGGCCAAAAGGAUGUGAUGAAUGAUAUAUGUGAUGUAUGAGAUUGAUCAUGUUCUUGUAAUAGGAUUCACGACUUGCAUGUCGAUGAGUAUGACAACCGGCAGGAGCCAUAGGAGUUGUCUUUAUUUUUUGUAUGACCUGCGUGUCAUUGAAGAACGCCAUGUAAACUACUUUACUUUAUUGCUAAACGCGUUAGUCAUAGAAGUAGAAGUAGUCGUUGGCGUGACAACUUCAUGAAGACACGAUGAUGGAGAUCAUGAUGAUGGAGAUCAUGGUGUCAAGCCGGUGACAAGAUGAUCAUGGAGCCCCGAAGAUGAAGAUCAAAGGAGCUAUAUGAUAUUGGCCAUAUCAUGUCACUACUCUAUUUGAUUGCAUGUGAUGUUUAUCAUGUUUAUGCAUCUUAUUUACUUAGGACGACGGUAGUAAAUAAGAUGAUCCCUUACAAAAUUUCAAGAAGUGUUCUCCCCUAACUGUGCACCGUUGCUACAGUUCGUCGCUUCUAAGCACCACGUGAUGAUCGGGUGUGAUGGAUUCUUACGUUCACAUACAACGGGUGUAAGACAGUUUUACACAGCGAAAACACUUAGGGUUAACUUGACGAGCCUAGCAUGUGCAGACAUGGCCUCGGAACACGGAGACCGAAAGGUCGAGCAUGAGUCGUAUAGUAGAUACGAUCAACAUAAAGAUGUUCACCGAUGAUGACUAGUCCGUCUCACGUGAUGAUCGGACACGGCCUAGUUGACUCGGAUCAUGUGAUCACUUAGAUGACCAGAGGGAUGUCUAUCUAAGUGGGAGUUCAUAAGAUGAACUUAAUUAUCCUGAACAUAGUCAAAAGACCUUUUGCAAAUUAUGUCGUAGCUCGCGCUUUAGUUCUACUGUAUUAGAUAUGUUCCUAGAGAAAAUAUAGUUGAAAGUUGACAGUAGCGAUUAUGCGAUCAGUAGAAAGCUUAUGUCCUUAAUGCACCGCUUAGUGUGUUGAACCCCAAACAUCGUUUGUGGAUGUUUCAAACAUCGAACAUACACGUUUUGAUAACUACGUGAUAGUUCAGUUAAAUGGUUUAAGUAGAGGCACCAAAGACGUUUUCGAAACGUCGCGGAACAUAUGAGAUGUUUCGAGGGCUGAAAUUGGGAUUUCAGGCUCGUGCCCGCGUCAAGAGGUAUGAGACCUCCGACGAUUUUCUUAGCCUGCAAACUAAGGGAGAAAAGCUCAAUCGUUGAGCUUGUGCUCAGAUUGUCUGAGUGCAACAAUCACUUGAAUCGAGUGGGAGUUGAUCUUCCAGAUGAGAUAGUGAUGUUUCCUCCAAAGUCAUUACCACCAAGCUGCUAGAGCUUCGUGAUGAACUAUAACAUAUCAAGGAUAGAGAUGAUGAUCCUUGAGGUAUUCACGAUGUUUGACACCACGAAAGUAGAAAUCAAGAAGGAGCAUCAAUCGUUGAUGGUCAGUGAAACCACUAGUUUCAAGAAGGGCAAGGGAACAAAGGGAUACUUCAUGAAACGGCAAUUCAGCUGCUGCUCUAGUGAAGAAACCCAAGGUUGAACCCAAACCCGAGACUAAGUGCUUCUGUAAUAAGGGGAACAACCACUGGAGCAGCAUUACCCUAGAUACUUGGUAGAUGAGAAGGCUGGCAAGGUCGAUAGAAGUAUAUUGGAUAUACAUUAUGUUAAUGUGUACUUUACUAGUACUCCUAGUAGCACCAGGGUAUUGGAUAGCGGUUCGGUUGCUAAGUGUUAGUAACUCGAAAUAAAAGCUACGGAAUAAACGGAGACUAGCUAAAGGUGAGCUGACGAUAUAUGUUGGAAGUGUUUCCAAGGUUGAUAUGAUCAAGUAUCGCACGCUCCCUCUACCACCGAGAUUGGUGUUUGCGUUGAGCAUAGACAUGAUUGGAUUAUGUCUAUCGCAAUACGGUUAUUCAUUUAAGGAGAAUAAUGGUUACUCUAUUUUUGAAUAAUACCUUCAAUGGUCUUGCACCUAAAGGAAUGGUUUAUUGAAUCUCGGUCGUAGUGAUACACAUUUUCAUGCCAAAAGAUAUAAGAUAGUAAUGAUAGUACCACUCACUUGUGGCACUACCAUGUAAGUCAUAAUGGUAUAAAACGCAUGAAGAAGCUCCAUGUUGAUGGAUCUUUGGACUCACUCAUUUUUGAAAAGUUUGAGACAUGCGAACCAUGUCUAUUGGUGUAUAUGCAUGAAGAAACUCCAUGCAAAUGGAUCGUUCGGACUCACUUGAUUUUGAAUCACUUGAGAUAUGCAAAUCAUACCACAUGGGCAAGAUGACUGAAAAGCCUCAUUUUCAGUAAGAUGGAACAAGAUAGCAACUUGUUGGAAGUAACACAUUUUGAUGUGUGCAGUCGAAUGAGUGCUGAGGCAUGCAGUGAAUAUCAUUAUGUUCUUACUUCACAGAUGAUUCGAGUAAAUGUUGAGUAUAUUUACUUGAUGAAACACAAGUCUGAAUUAUUGAAUGGUUCAAGUAAUUUCAGAGUGAAGUAGCAGAUCAUUGUGACAAGAGGAUAAAAUGUCUAUGAUAUGAUCAUAGAGAUGAAUAUCUGAGUUACGAGUUUUGGCACACAAUUAAGACAUUGUGGAAAUUGUUUCGCAAUUAAUACCGCCUGGAACACCAUAAUGUGAUGGUGUGUCCGAACAUCAUAGUUGCACCCUAUUGGAUAUGGUGCGUACCAUGAUGUCUCUUAUCGAAUUACCACUAUCGUUCAUGGGUUAGGCAUUAGAGACAACCACAUUCACUUUAAAUAGGGCACCACGUAAUUCCGAUGAGAUGACACCGUAUGAAUUAUGGUUUAGAGAAACCUAAGUUGUCGUUUCUUAAAAGUUUGGGGCUGCGACGCUUAUAUGAAAAAGUUUCAGGUUGAUAAGCUCGAACCCAAAGCGGAUAAAAUGCAUCUUCGUAGGAAACCCAAAACAGUUGGGUAUACCUCCUAAUUCAGAUCCGAAAGCAAUAUGGAUUGUUUCUAGAAUCGGGUCCUUUCUCGAGGAAAAGUUUCUCUCGAAAGAAUUGAGUGGGAGGAUGGUGGAGACUUGAUGAGGUUAUUGAACCAUCUCUUCAACUAGUGUGUGACAGGGCACAGGGAGUUGUUCCUGUGGCACCUACACCAAUUGAAGUGGAAGCUUAUGAUAUUAAUCAUGAAACUUCGGAUCAAAUCACUCCCAAACCUCGUAGGAUGACAAGGAUGCGUACUACUUCAGAGUGGUACGUAAUCCUGUCUUGAAGGUCAUGUUGCUAGACAACAAUGAACCUACGAGCUAUGGAGAAGCGAUGGUGGGCCCAAAUUCCGACAAAUGGUUAGAAGCCAUAAAGUCCGAGAUAGGAUCCAUGUAUCAGAACAAAGCAUGGACUUUGGUGGACUUACCCGAUGAUCGGCAAGCCAUUGAGAUAAAUGGAUCUUUAAGAAGAAGACGGACGUGGACGGUAAUGUCACCGUCCAUGAAGCUCGACUUGUGGCGAAGAAUUUUUCACAAGUUCAAGGAGUUGACUACGAUGAGAUUUUCUCAUCCGUACCAAUGCUUAAAGUCCGUCGGAAUCAUGUUAGCAUUGGCUGCAUUUAUGAAAUCUGGCAGAUGGAUGUCAAGACAAGUUUCCUUACCAGUUUUUGUAAGGAAAGGUUGUAUGUGAUACAAUCAGAAAAGUUUUGUCAAUCCUAAGGAUGCUAAAAGGUAUGCUAGCUCCAGCGAUCCUUCUAAGGACUGGAGUAAGCAUCUCGGAGUUGGAAUGUACACUUUGAUUUUGGGUUUGUACAAAGUUUAUGAGAAACUUGUAUUUCCAAAGAAGUGAGUGGGAGCACUAUAGAAUUUCUGAUGAGUAUAUGUUCUUGACAUAUUGUUGAUCAGAAAUGAUGUAGAAUUUCUAGAAAGCAUAUAGGGUUAUUUGAAAGGUGUUUUCAAUAGAAAACCUGGAUCAAGCUACUUGAACAUUGAGCAUCAAGAUCUAUAAGAUAGAUCAAAAUGCUUAAUAAUACUUUUAAAUGAGCACGUACCUUGACAUAAUCUUGAAGGUGUUCAAGAUGGAUCAGUCAAAGAAGGAGUUCUUGCCUGAGUUGUAAAGUAUGAAGUUAAGACUUAAAGCUUGACCACGGCAGAAGAAAGAGGAAGGACGAAGGUCGUCCCCUAUGCUUUUAUCAUAGGCUCUCUACAGUAUGCUAUGCUGUGUACCGCACCUGAAGUGUGCCUUGCCAUGAGUCAGUCAAGGGGUACAAGAGUGAUCCAAGAAUGGAUCACAGGACAUCGGUCAAAGUUAUCCUUAGUAACUAGUGGACUAAGGAAUUUUCUCGAUUAUGGAGGUGGUAAAAGAGUUCGUCGUAAAGGUUACGACGACGCAAGUUUGACACCUAUCCGGAUAGCUCUGAGUUGGAAAUAUGCCCUAGAGGCAAUAAUAAAAGUAUUAUUAUUAUAUUUCCUUGUUCAUGAUAAUUGUCUUUUAUUCAUGCUAUAACUGUAUUAUCCGGAAAUCGUAAUACACGUGUGAAUACAUAGACCACAAUAUGUCCCUAGUGAGCCUCUAGUUGACUAGCUCGUUGUGAUCAACAGAUAGUCAUGGUUUCCUGGCUAUGGACAUUGGAUGUCGUUGAUAACGGGAUCACAUCAUUAGGAGAAUGAUGUGAUGGACAAGACCCAAUCCUAAGACUAGCACAAAAGAUCGUGUAGUUCAUUUGCUAGAGCUUUGCCAAUGUCAAGUAUCUCUUCCUUCAACCAUGAGAGCGUGUAACUCCUGGAUACCGCAGGAGUGCUUUGGGUGUAUCAAACGUCACAACGUAACUGGGUGACUAUAAAGGUGCACUACAGGUAUCUCCGAAAGUAUCUAUUGUUUUAUGCGGAUCAAGACUGGGAUUUGUCACUCCGUGUAAACGGAGAGGUAUCUCUGGGCCCACUCGGUAGGACAUCAUCAUAUGCGCAAUGUGACCAAGGAGUUGAUCACGGGAUGAUGUGUUACGGAACGAGUAAAGUGACUUGCCGGUAACGAGAUUGAACAAGGUAUUGGAUACCGACGAUCGAAUCUCGGGCAAGUAACAUACCGAUAGACAAAGGGAAUUGAAUACGGGAUUGAUUAAGUCCUUGACAUCGUGGUUCAUCCGAUGAGAUCGUCGUGGAACAUGUGGGAGCCAUCAUGGGUAUCCAGAUCCCGCUGUUGGUUAUUGACCGGAGAACGUCUCGGUCAUGUCUGCAUGUCUCCCGAACCCGUAGGGUCUACACACUUAAGGUUCGAUGACGCUAGGGUUAUAAAGGAAGCUUGUAUGUGGUUACCGAAUGUUGUUCAGAGUCCCGGAUGAGAUCCCGGACGUCACGAGGAGUUCCGGAAUGGUCCGGAGGUAAAGAUUUAUAUAUAGAAAGUCCUGUUUCGGGCAUCGGGACAAGUUUCGGGGUCAUCGAUAUUGUACCGGGACCACCGGAAGGGUCCCGGGGGCCCACCGGGUGGGGCCACCUGCCCCGGGGGGCCACAUGGGCUGUAGGGGGUGCGCCUUGGCCUACAUGGGCCAAGGGCACCAGCCCCAAGAGGCCCAUGCGCCUAGGGAACCCUAGAGGGAAGAGUCCUCAAGGGGGAAGGCACCUCCGAGGUGCCUUGGGGAGGAUGGACUCCUCCCCCCCCCCCCUCUUGGCCGCCGCACCAGAUGCCAUCUGGAGGCUGGCCGCCGCCCCUUGGGGUGGGAAACCCUAAAGGGGGCGCAGCCCUCCCCUUCCCCUAUAUAUAUGAGGCCUAGGGGCUGCCCAUAACACGCGAUUUGAUCUCUCGUUGGUGCAGCCCUACCCCUCUCCCUCCUCCUCCUCUCCCAUGGUGCUUGGCGAAGCCCUGCGGGAUUGCCACGCUCCUCCACCACCACCACGCCGUUGUGCUGCUGUUGGAUGGAGUCUUCCUCAACCUCUCCCUCUCUCCUUGCUGGAUCAAGGCGUGGGAGACGUACCCGGGCUGUACGUGUGUGGAACGCGGAGGUGCCGUACGUUCGGCACUUGAUCAUCGAUGAUUUGAAUCACGACGAGUACGACUCCAUCAACCUCGUUCACUUGAACGCUUCCGCUUAGCGAUCUACAAGGGUAUGUAGAUGCACUCUCCUUUCUACUCGUAGCUGGUUUCUCCAUAGAUAGAUCUUGGUGACACGUAGGAAAUUUUUUGAAUUUCUGCUACGUUCCCCAACAGAGUCGCCUUGUGCUUUUUAGUAGAGUGAGUCACAUCAAAAUUUUAAUAACAUGUGUGCUUCCUGUAAUUUAUUUGUUGAUAAUUAUUCUCCAGAAAUGACUCGUUAGGGUUUGUGAUAUUUUUAACUAUAUAAAAAAAUGAGACAUGCCUCUUGUAGCAAGCAAUCGCUUUUCGCUACAAAAACAAGCAGCCACUCCUAUUUUUAUCUUAAAAAAUCAAUAUGCCCUCUUAUUCUCUAAUAGCACAACAUAUGGCUCGCACUCACAUCUCCUUCCCCCCGGACUGUUCUGCCCACAACGGCCUCUCACUGUCCUCCCCUCAACGGCACAUCAUUUAGCCUGCACGGAGUCGCCCGCCCCUCCUCUCCCCUCGACGGCAUCCCAGGCCAAUUCCCACUGCCAAGGGUUGCACGCAAUCAUAGCCGAGGGUGACCACCACAACGACACAACCUGUUCACCACAACGCCGCACCUUCUCCGAGUUCAGCGCCCACAACCAGGUCCUGAGCUCAUGUGUCCAUCCUUUUAUCUAGUGGCCUUAAAUAUUUCAAUGGUUCAACAUGUGUCGUGUCCUUGCAGAUCCUCAUACAAAUCAAUCGGUAUUGCCGAACAUUUUUACAACACUAUAUCCGCCUCCACUACUACUACCACAGUGGAUCCGUUGCUAUAGAAUAAAUUAAUACAAUCAUUUGUAUGCAUGUGCAACAUCUCUCAGAAAAGAACAAUUAUUUGUAUGCAUUUCUUCUAAUUCUGUGAAAUCAUGCUUUUAGGCCAGCCCAUCAUAGUUACGUCAAUGACUUUGCCAAUCAGCAUUUUCAAAGCACAAUCAUAAGCUACCAGUUUUUGUCUUUGAUAUAUAAAGGUGAACAUAUAAACAUAUAUUAAAAUAAGAAAAAAACUCGUAUACAAUCUAUAUAGUAGAAUGCCCGUGCGUUGCCACGGGCCUUUUGUUGUACAAAACUCGAUGAAUUUUUUACCUCUUUCAAUAGCAUCGUCCCUACACCCUUGUUUGGUGGGGUUUUUUUUCAAACGUUGACAUAAUCCAUCUUUAUCUCUCUCAUACGAAAAUAAAUAAAUAUAUUAGGAAUAUAUAUAAACACACCUUUUGUAUUAUCAUGUGUAACAAAUAUAUUAAGAAGCAUUAUUUGUAUGCAUCUCUUAUGAUUGUUAAAACUCAAUGAUUUUUUGGUCUGGUCCAUUAUAAACAUGACUUGUUAGGGUAUCUGAUAUUUUCAACUAUAUAAAAGUAUGUGACAUUUCUCUGAUCGCAAUCAAAUACUUUCCCAAAAAAAAUGUCACUCCUUUUCUUUUUAUUUUUGAAAAAGCAAUUCACUCUCUCAUUGCAUGGCACAACGCUCACCAUCAUAUCGCAUUUCAUAGCAAUGCUCACACUCAUAUCUACCCGCAGCUUCUCUCCAAACUGACGUUGCUGGCAUCAAAGCAUGCCACGACAUUCCAGCGUCGUCUCCCCUUCCCUCCACGACGUCGCCCUCCCCCUCUACGGUAUCCCAGUGCCAAGGAAUGUACGCCAUCAGCCGAUGGCGACCACCACAGCAUGUUUUUGCUGACAUGAUAUAUGAAAUGAUAUAUAUCACGUGAUCCUUACACUUCAUCUCAAUGCACACAUGAAGUACGAUCUACUAUUUGUUUUGGUAAUUUUUUCAUGUUUAUAGCCAAUCACACUUUCAUACACAGAUCCGCCAUGGGGUGUAAGAAGGCAAUUAGCAAGUUAGCAAACAGACCGAAAGUGAAUUUAUUCACAUAUUAAAAAGAUGUAUUCAAUGAGUUGGAACCGGGACCAAGACGUUUACAGAAUAUGGACGUCACUUAUCACCCACCAAGUCUUUAAGGGGCCAAAUCCUCACUGCACUGCUCGUUCCCGUGCUAAUCUAAUAAAAAGAAAUCAUAAAAAGAUGCAGGUUUGGCCCCCUAUCCUGAAGCUACUGUUGUGGUCUCUAGGAACAUAGUGACAGAUGAAACAAACAGCAGCGGCAUUGGAGUGGAGGGAGGUUCAUGUGUACGUACCAGAUGUACUCGGCGACGACCCCAUACAUCUCGAUGGCGGGGGCCAGAUCCUUGAACCCGGACGCUCCUCCAGGCGCCAAACACCCUUGCUCCCUUAAGAGCCUAUUCUGGAUUCUCGUUGAUAUCUUAAUACAACAGCAGCAACUGCUACUUUUAGUCAGAAAAAAUGCAAUUCGAAACAUGUUGUGUUAGGUUGUUAGUAAUUGACCAACCAAUAUAGAUUGCCUCGAUGAUCUUUGUUGUAGUCAAGAGCCACCAACUCCCCAUCGACCCAUGUCAUCUGACCGGAUGCCUUGCUAUUCCGCCACCCGCCACUGCCUGUAUCUAACAAAAAUUUAGUACAAAAGUUAGAGCAUGAAACAUGAGAUUUAGUUACACUCAUAUGUGGUGAAGUUGUGGCCUUUUAUUCCGCUAAAAAGGAUGUGUUGUGUACUUCCUCCGUCCGGAAUUAGUUGGCGCUCAAAUGGAUGUACCUAGCAUUGAAAUACAUCUAGAUACAUCCAUUUGAGCAUCAACUAAUUCCAGACGGAGGGAGUAGGACUGAAGAUCAAACUUUAGUUAUACAAGUAGAAUCUUCGUUUUCAUAUCACUUUGAAGGAAUAACAAAUCCUGGUUGGCCCUGUGGCCUCGAGCAGCAUCAUAAAUAUGUGUGUGCGCCGUUGUCCUUGCUCCGAUGGCUACCUGUCGCUGCUGCGCAGAGGCCACACACAUGACCGUGUUACUGUACAAUGUCACUGCUUUGCUCGUCAUAAUUUUUCUCCAUGCCAUCUCUGGCCUCCACCUUGCCUCUGCGUCCCUAUUGCCACGACAGGACAACACCAGCUCACACCGCAGUCACCCGUGGGCAUUGUCCCUCUGAACAAGAUUUCUGCCUUGUCCAUUGCGGUAUCCCCUCGUUACCUACAAAAAUUGGUAAUUUGGAUCUUAAUAUUACUGUAGAAAUUCAAUACAUUCAAAUAACCUACACGCAACUCAAAGACACAGUUUACAGUCUGAUAAUAAUCGGGUUGGGCACUGAGAUGUAAAUAAUUAAAAGGCACUGAGAUUCUUUCAUCAUCUCCAAGAACUAAAGUCGAAAUCUUGCGCUCUCGACCUGACCAAAUUUAUGAAUCCAGGAAAGGGUCCACCGUUUAUGAUUCAGACUGAAUGUUCGGCGAUUUUAGUUGGGGGCUCAGUACUUCCUACUGGGACAGCACAUAGAUUGUCCAUGGUGUAUGCUGCUUCCAUAUGAGAGGGAAAAGGUGAACUCGUUGGGAGAUGUAUUAGCAAUGGUGUCAUCUCACAUGGAUUGCCCCUGGUGUAAGUUGCACUGUUGAUCUAGCUAUGCAAGCGAAGAAUACUAAAGCAGCGAUGCGACAACAAAAUAUAGCUUUGGAGCAUAUGAUACUUAAUGGUAGGCCAUCUAUAAGGUGGCAAAAUACCGACUUAUUACAAAGAAAAUCUAAAUUUGAAUACUGAGGCUGCAGAGAGGACCAAGGUCAUGGUUUCGAGCCUACAAAUAUUUGCCUCUUGUUAUGCAUCAUCAGUUCUCAAAGCGAAAGGGGAUAUUAUGGCCAAUGUUGGCCUCUAUAAUUUUUUGCCUAUACAAACAACAGAUUCUCUACCACUGCGAGUUCCAAGAAAGAUGUCAUCAUAAUAUAUGUAAGCUCAAAAUUGUUCCAUUAACCAACUUACAAUGUCAUGGAGUCGUUGCAAUCAACAUCAGUAUCUAGCAGCAUAUUUCCCUCUUCCAUGAUGGUCAUCGCCUCCACAUCACCACCUACCACAUCAUAGAAUUAGAUUUCAAUUUCAUUUAUCAGGAAAUGAAGAGGCAGCAUAAAAGAAUCUAACCGUUGCCAAGCUCCGCCACCGGCCAGUGUUGGGAGGGAAUGGGGCUUUAUGUGUUAAUAUGGAGAGGACUGCUCUACGCAUUGAGAAUUCUCUGAAGAUCAAACCCAAUAUUCAGUUAAUAUGUAAGCCAUUGUAUGCACACUUGAGGCACUCAGACCCGGGG
rnacentral:lncRNA from 1 species